GAUCUGGCUCAGAACGAACGCUGGCGGCGCGUCUUAAGCAUGCAAGUCGAACGGCAAGAGGUAGCAAUACCUCCUAGAGUGGCGGACUGGUGAGUAACACGUGGGUGACAUACCCUUCAGAUGGGGAUAGCUAUUAGAAAUAGUAGAUAAUACCGAAUACGAGCACAGGGGUUAGAGAUCUGUGAGGAAAGGAGCUAAGGCUCCGCUGAAGGAAUGGCCUGCGGCCCAUUAGCUAGUUGGUGAGGUAAGAGCCCACCAAGGCGAUGAUGGGUAUCCGGCCUUAGAGGGUGAACGGACACAUUGGGACUGAGAUACGGCCCAGACUCCUACGGGAGGCAGCAGCUAAGAAUAUUCCGCAAUGGACGAAAGUCUGACGGAGCGACGCCGCCGUGGAUGAAGAAGGCCGGAAGGUUGUAAAAUCCUUUUGAAACUGAAGAAUAAGCGUUGUAGGGAAUGACAGCGUGGUGACAGUAGGUUUUGAAUAAGCAACGGCUAAUUACGUGCCAGCCGCCGC
rnacentral:rRNA from 1 species